CCUACGGGUGGCAGCAGUGAGGAAUAUUGGUCAAUGGACGAGAGUCUGAACCAGCCAAGUAGCGUGAAGGAUGACUGCCCUAUGGGUUGUAAACUUCUUUUAUAUGGGAAUAAAACGUUCCACGUGUGGGGUUUUGUAUGUACCAUAUGACUAAGGAUCGGCUAACUCCGUGCCAGCAGCCGCGGUAAUACGGAGGAUCCGAGCGUUAUCCGGAUUUAUUGGGUUUAAAGGGAGCGUAGGUGGGCUGUUAAGUCAGUUGUGAAAGUUUGCGGCGCAACCGUAAAAUUGCAGUUGAAACUGGUAGUCUUGAGUAUAGGAGAGGCAGGCGGAAUUCGUGGUGUAGCGGUGAAAUGCUUAGAUAUCACGAAGAACUCCGAUUGCGAAGGCAGUUCACUGGACUGCAACUGACACUGAGGCUCGAAAGUGUGGGUAUCAAACAGGAUUAGAUACCCGUGUAGUC
rnacentral:rRNA from 1 species